GAGGUUAUAGCUCAGUGGUAGAGUGCAUGCUUAGCAUGCACAAAGUCCUAGGUUCAAUCCCCAGUACCUCCU
rfam:Camelus ferus unplaced genomic scaffold scaffold993, whole genome shotgun sequence.